rnacentral:lncRNA from 1 species
CUGCUGGCAACACAUGAAAGUGAUAAGCCGUGUGCAAUCCACAUCUGUUUGUACACUGGGGAUCUAUGGAAUUGCACAGAGAUGCCCAUGUUCCACAUUCUAAUGCAAAUAUGCACCAGAAAAUAGAACAGGUGUUUUUAGAGGACAUCCAAAUUUUAUACAAAUGCUUUUGUAACAUAAACAUUACUUCAAAAUGAAAUUUUGAAACAUGAAGCAUUUUCAAAUAUGAACUUUGAUAUAUGAAAAGUGAAAGAAUUCACCACCAACGUACUUCACUACAAGAAAUGUUAAAGAAAGUCUUUCAGGAAGAAGAAAAAUGAUAUCAGAUGGAAAUAUAGACUUAUACAAAGGAAGUAAAAGCUGUAAAAAUGGUUAUAAUUGACCAACUCAAUUGCAC